GCCUAGUCCCGAUAGCAGUAAAAAUCCUUUUGUGCCGGGGGUUGGGCACAAAGGAUUGGAGGAUAUAGCGGGAAAAGCU
rnacentral:sRNA from 1 species